GACGAACGCUGGCGGCGUGCUUAACACAUGCAAGUCGAACGGAAACGCCCUGCUUUUGUGGGGUGCUCGAGUGGCGAACGGGUGAGUAACACGUGAGUAACCUGCCCUUGACUUUGGGAUAACUUCAGGAAACUGGGGCUAAUACCGGAUAGGAGCUCCUGCUGCAUGGUGGGGGUUGGAAAGUUUCGGCGGUUGGGGAUGGACUCGCGGCUUAUCAUCUUGUUGGUGGGGUAGUGGCUUACCAAGGCUUUGACGGGUAGCCGGCCUGAGAGGGUGACCGGCCACAUUGGGACUGAGAUACGGCCCAGACUACUACGGGAGGCAGCAGUGUGGAAUAUUGCACAAUGGGCGGAAGCCUGAUGCAGCAACGCCGCGUGCGGGAUGACGGCCUUCGGGUUGUAAACCGCUUUCGCCUGUGACGAAGCGUGAGUGACGGUAAUGGGUAAAGAAGCACCGGCUAACUACGUG
rnacentral:rRNA from 1 species